GUUUAGGUAGUUGAGGGGUGAGAGCACCUGACUGGUAAUCAGGAGUGCCGGGGUUCGAAUCCCGGCCCGCCCG
rnacentral:tRNA from 1 species